UUUUUUUUUUUUUUUUUUGCAAGUGCUUGGCUUCUCCGACGACAGCUGGAGGUCACAAACUCUCACCGAUCACCUGUCACCGUCAUGGUGAAAGUCUCCGCCGCCGUCUUCAACCACCACAUCAUCUGAGACUUAAUUCAAGUAUCCCUCUUCGACGAGACCGACACUUCAUGUUCGUCUCUUCCCAUUUAUCGAACCAUCACCAUCUCUGUUUGGAAACACUUCAAGCUUCCAUGUCUCCUCAAGUCAUCUCUUCUCACUUUUUCUCCGUGACCACCGUCACGUCUCUUGCUCGGCUGACAUUGCAACCGGCUGCUCCCUUUCUCUUCAGCUCACCUCUCAGUGAUGAACCGCUUUUGCCUUGAGCUCAGGUCCACUCAAGGUUGCUCCCUCUUGCCUUGAGCUCUCAAGUCCACUCAAGCUACACAUUGAGAGAUUUGUUACUUUAAUCUCUGUCUUCCUCUCGCUCUUUUCUUCUUCUUUUUCACGGCUUCACUGCCGUCACCUUUUCUUCUCUUUCUUUUUCUUUGCUGUGUUCUUCACGGCCAGUUCCUUCUUUCCAUUCACGGCUUCUUUGUUGUCGUUGCCUUCUCACGGCACACUUUUCUUCUCUUCUUAGACAUCUUCUCCUCAUGGCCUCA